rnacentral:rRNA from 2 species
UGGCUCAGGACGAACGCUGGCGGCGUGCCUAAUACAUGCAAGUCGAGCGGACUUGAUGGGAGCUUGCUCCUUAUCAAGUUAGCGGCGGACGGGUGAGUAACACGUGGGCAACCUGCCCUAUAGUUGGGGAUAACUCCGGGAAACCGGGGCUAAUACCGAAUAAUACAUUUCUUCUCCUGAUGAAAUGUUGAAAGAUGGUUUACGCUAUCGCUAUAGGAUGGGCCCGCGGCGCAUUAGCUAGUUGGUGAGGUAACGGCUCACCAAGGCGACGAUGCGUAGCCGACCUGAGAGGGUGAUCGGCCACACUGGGACUGAGACACGGCCCAGACUCCUACGGGAGGCAGCAGUAGGGAAUCUUCCACAAUGGGCGAAAGCCUGAUGGAGCAACGCCGCGUGAGUGAAGAAGGUUUUCGGAUCGUAAAACUCUGUUGUAAGGGAAGAACAAGUACAGUAGUAACUGGCUGUACCUUGACGGUACCUUAUUAGAAAGCCACGGCUAACUACGUGCCAGCAGCCGCGGUAAUAC